rnacentral:rRNA from 1 species
ACUAAGCCAUGCGAGUCGAAUGUAGCAAUACAUGGCGAACUGCUCAGUAACACGUGGACAACCUGCCCUUAGGUUGGGUAUAAACCCGGGAAACUGGGUAUAAUACCCGAUAGGUCUCGAUUGCUGGAAUGCAUCGAGAUUUAAAGCUCCGGCGCCUAAGGAUGGGUCUGCGGCCUAUCAGGUAGUAGUGGGUGUAGCGUACCUACUAGCCUACGACGGGUACGGGUUGUGAGAGCAAGAGCCCGGAGAUGGAUUCUGAGACACGAAUCCAGGCCCUACGGGGUGCAGCAGGCGCGAAAACUUUACAAUGCUGGCAACAGCGAUAAGGGAACCUCGAGUGCCAGGUUACAAAUCUGGCUGUCGAGAUGCCUAAAAAGCAUUUCAUAGCAAGGGCCGGGCAAGACCGGUGCCAGCCGCCGCGGUAACACCGGCGGCUCGAGUGGUAACCGUUAUUAUUGGGUCUAAAGGGUCUGUAGCCGGCCGGAUAAGUCUCUUGAGAAAUCUGGCAGCUUAACUGUCAGGCUUUCAGGAGAUACUGUCUGGCUCGAGGCCGGGAGAGGUGAGAGGUACUUCAGGGGUAGGGGUGAAAUCUUGUAAUCCUUGAAGGACCACCAGUGGCGAAGGCGUCUCACCAGAACGGACCUGACGGCAAGGGACGAAAGCUAGGGGCACGAACCGGAUUAGAUACCCGGGUAGUCCUAGCCGUAAACGAUACUCGCUAGGUGUCGGCCACGGUGCGACCGUUGUCGGUGCCGUAGGGAAGCCGUGAAGCGAGCCACCUGGGA